GAAACCAAAGUAUAACUGAGAAAAAACAAUGGAGAAGUUUACAAUGAAGUUAGCCUUCGUUUUCGCUUUCGUUUUUGCAGUCCUUGCUUUUUCAAUAAGUGUAGAAAGGCAAGCGGAGGCAAGAAAUAUAUCGUUUCCAUGCAAGACAACAGCUGAUUGUGGGGAUCCUGUUCAUUGUGUAUGUAACGAUAUUCAUUUGUGUAUUUGUCAUGCUGCUGUUUUGAAAAAUAUAGCUGACUUCAUGAAGACUAAAUUAAACAAUAUAAAUGUUCAUAGUUAAAAAAAGAUAGGUUGGUUAUGUAACACCCCUCUCUGGUAGACGAGAGAUGUUAUUGUUGAAUUAUUUAUAAUGAAUAAAACUUAAAAUUGCUGAGAUAA